GAUGAACGCUAGCGGCAGGCUUAAUACAUGCAAGUCGAGGGGCAGCAUGACUGUAGCAAUACAGUUGAUGGCGACCGGCAAACGGGUGCGGAACACGUACGCAACCUACCCAAAACUGAGGAAUAGCCCGGGGAAACCCGGAUUAAUACUUCGUAACAUAAUUGAAUGGCAUCAUUUAAUUAUUAUAGCUCCGGCGGUUUUGGAUGGGCGUGCGCCUGAUUAGGUAGUUGGUAGGGAACGGCCUACCAAGCCAACGAUCAGUAACUGGUGUGAGAGCACGACCAGUCACACGGGCACUGAGACACGGGCCCGACUCCUACGGGAGGCAGCAGUAAGGAAUAUUGGUCAAUGGACGCAAGUCUG
rnacentral:rRNA from 1 species